CCCUGGGCAGCUCAGUCGGUACAGCAUGAGACUGUUAAUCUCAGGGUCAUGGGUUUGAGUGCCACAUUGGGCA